ensembl:lncRNA
UUCUUCUUUUUUGAGAUAUUUAUUCUUAAAAAUGACUCGGGAUCUUGGAAUUGCUUCACAUGUGUCAGCUCUGACGUGGGCUUUUCUUUCAACCGCCUCCCACGUAGCAGUAGAGAAUUCAUGCAGCUGUGUGGUAUGCCAUCAACGCUCUACGGUGAUCCUACUAGUUUAAAGCUUUGUCACAGAGAAAUCAAAAGCUGCAAUGACUUUUCAAUAUAUUGAUAUGGAUAAUAAUUGCAUAGGAUAAUAGCCAUGCUGUACAAUACACAUAAUUAUAAAAUAAUAUGUUAGAAUGAUUAGUACAGAUUUCCUAAAGUAGGUUUAUACAGUUUUUCAUUAUUGUCAACAUUUAAGUGCAUCAUAUAAUAUGAAUAGUCUUUAUAUUAAUGGUGAUCUGAUACAUAGUUAUAGUGAUUCAAUACAUACAGUACAUACAUACAGUAAAGUAAAUCUUAAUCAAAUUUAGAGGGACAUUGCAAAGCCCUUAAAAUGUAAUAGAUAUUGUCAGAUAAAAUGAAUAAAUGGUAUGCAGCGGAAUGAUAAAACUGUACACACCUGUCAUACCAGAUUAUGGUGAUAUUUUCUUUUACAUUGCUGAGUUUUGUUUUUCCUCUAGAACACACAGUACAGAUUAUUUACAUGAAGCCACUCUCAGAGAAAAGAACCGAGAAAAAAAAAGCCAUUUCUGUGUCAAACAGAAGGUCAACAUCUUGCAUGCAUUACUUUAGAAUUAGUAAAAAUGUAAAAUUAGUGGAUAAGAGGGAAAAAAUCUGAAACGUCAACAACUGCAUGCAGCAACAAUGGUUAUAAUGUUAACAAUUCCAUAAUGAUUUGAGUACCUCCUGACCUCACACCCUCACACAAUAAAAUCAUAAGGCAUGCCUCAUCUAAUUCCUCCACAACCAUACUUUUAACGGCAGAUACAUCCUAUUAACAACUGGUAUGAAGUCCCUUCUUGUUUACCUUCAUAUGGUCAAUACAUGUGUAAUGAGACCUGGAAACAAAAAGAAAAUUCAGCUCAUUAACCCAGUUUGACAGUAGGCUCACGACAUGUAGGUUAUUCUGGAGCUCAAGAGCUUUCAGUGACAGUUUCAUAUAGCAGAUCAUCUUGUGCUUGUGGCCACAGGGUUGUAAUACAUAUUUAUUGUCGGGCUUCUUCUUAAUAAUU